AAUAUUGGACAAUGGGGGCAACCCUGAUCCAGCCAUGCCGCGUGUGUGAAGAAGGUCUUCGGAUUGUAAAGCACUUUCAGUCGGGAGGAAGGGCUUUAGGCUAAUACCCUGAAGGUUUGACGUCACCAUCCGAGUCAGCACCGGCUAACUCUGGGACGGCAGCCGCGGUAAUCCGGAGGGGGCAAGCGUUAAUCGGAAUUACUGGGCGUAAAGCGCGCGUAGGUGGUUCAGUAAGAUGGGUGUGAAAUCCCCGGGCUUAACCUGGGAACUGCUUUCAUAACUGCUGAGCUAGAGUACGGUAGAGGUUAGUGGAAUUUCCUGUGUAGCGGUGAAAUGCGUAGAUAUAGGAAGGAACACCAGUGGCGAAGGCGACUACCUGGACUGAUACUGACACUGAGGUGCGAAAGCGUGGGGAGCAAAC
rnacentral:rRNA from 1 species